UACGAAGGGGGCUAGCGUUGCUCGGAAUCACUGGGCGUAAAGCGCACGUAGGCGGAUCGUUAAGUCAGGGGUGAAAUCCUGGAGCUCAACUCCAGAGCUGCCUUUGAUACUGGCGAUCUUGAGUUCGAGAGAGGUGAGUGGAACUGCGAGUGUAGAGGUGAAAUUCGUAGAUAUUCGCAAGAACACCAGUGGCGAAGGCGGCUCACUGGCUCGAUACUGACGCUGGAGGUGACGAAAGCGUGGGGGAGCAAACAGG
rnacentral:rRNA from 1 species